rnacentral:lncRNA from 1 species
CGGGCAGCGGGAGGCGCCGGCAGCGCCGCUCAGUGCCCGAACUGCUGCGACUCUUCUUCAUCUCCCAGUCAAGGCACCCCUGUGUGCCUCACGCCAGAUGUCACCUAAUUAAUUGACAGUUGCUUACUUUUCAAUUAAGGUACAAAUUAAGUUAUUUUUCAUGUCCUGAAGAGUGCCUGGUAGCUGAAAAACAUAGGAAGAUAGUUGCCAUAGAGAAUUUACCAUGGUAACUUGUCCUUUGACUGCUUGUUUGUAUAUCAAAGUCUUUAUUUAAACAUCUGCCUUCCUCAAAAAGCUCUGAGAAGUCUGGCUAGAGAGACUUAGCAGCUACCACACUCGAGGGUUAAUUGUCCAUCAGUCCUCUGCACAGGUCCUGCACCGCAGCCCUACCAAACCUAAUGGAUCUCUUUUGUUCAAACAAGAGAAAGAUCCCAUGGGGGCCUCAGCACCAUGGAGCACUGUUGCUAUCCAUCAGCAUGAUGUACUGUCAGGGUACCAGACAGCCCCCUUUAGGCACUGAAAGGUGCUCUAAGGUCUUCACAGAGCCCUCACUUCACCUGAACAGCCCCAGCUCUCCCAGCCUCACAGGAGAGGUGUUCCAGCUUUUGGAUCAUCUUCAUGACCUUCUUCUGGGCCAGCUCCAACAGGUCAAUGUCUUUCUUCUGUAAGGGAGCCCAGCUGGACACAAUACUCCAGAUGGGGUUUAACAAGGGCAGAGUAGAAGGAGAGAAUCACCUCUGGUCAUGCCUCUUGUGAUACAACCCAGACCAGAAUACAAUCCUUAUUGAGUUGUUAUUUGCUUGAUUUUUUUCUGUGUUCUGUAAAGAAGUUUGGCAAUGCAGCAGUAUAGCCACUUUAAACAAAAAUGGGAAAUUUACUAUUAAGUUAGAUCUCCAGCACUCAAAAUAUGUUACUUUAUGAACAUAUAUAGAGCUAAUGUUACAACUUGAAAAAAGGAGAGAAAAACAAAAGAACAAGAAAAACAUAUUGGUAAAAAAGUCUUGCAUUGCA